AGAGUUUGAUCAUGGCUCAGAUUGAACGCUGGCGGCAGGCCUAACACAUGCAAGUCGAGCGGUAGCACAGAGAGCUUGCUCUCGGGUGACGAGCGGCGGACGGGUGAGUAAUGUCUGGGAAACUGCCUGAUGGAGGGGGAUAACUACUGGAAACGGUAGCUAAUACCGCAUAACGUCGCAAGACCAAAGUGGGGGACCUUCGGGCCUCAUGCCAUCAGAUGUGCCCAGAUGGGAUUAGCUAGUAGGUGGGGUAACGGCUCACCUAGGCGACGAUCCCUAGCUGGUCUGAGAGGAUGACCAGCCACACUGGAACUGAGACACGGUCCAGACUCCUACGGGAGGCAGCAGUGGGGAAUAUUGCACAAUGGGCGCAAGCCUGAUGCAGCCAUGCCGCGUGUGUGAAGAAGGCCUUCGGGUUGUAAAGCACUUUCAGCGGGGAGGAAGGCGAUAAGGUUAAUAACCUUGUCGAUUGACGUUACCCGCAGAAGAAGCACCGGCUAACUCCGUGCCAGCAGCCGCGGUAAUACGGAGGGUGCAAGCGUUAAUCGGAAUUACUGGGCGUAAAGCGCACGCAGGCGGUCUGUCAAGUCGGAUGUGAAAUCCCCGGGCUCAACCUGGGAACUGCAUUCGAAACUGGCAGGCUAGAGUCUUGUAGAGGGGGGUAGAAUUCUAGGUGUAGCGGUGAAAUGCGUAGAGAUCUGGAGGAAUACCGGUGGCGAAGGCGGCCCCCUGGACAAAGACUGACGCUCAGGUGCGAAAGCGUGGGGAGCAAACAGGAUUAGAUACCCUGGUAGUCCACGCCGUAAACGAUGUCGAUUUGGAGGUUGUGCCCUUGAGGCGUGGCUUCCGGAGCUAACGCGUUAAAUCGACCGCCUGGGGAGUACGGCCGCAAGGUUAAAACUCAAAUGAAUUGACGGGGGCCCGCACAAGCGGUGGAGCAUGUGGUUUAAUUCGAUGCAACGCGAAGAACCUUACCUGGUCUUGACAUCCACAGAACUUUCCAGAGAUGGAUUGGUGCCUUCGGGAACUGUGAGACAGGUGCUGCAUGGCUGUCGUCAGCUCGUGUUGUGAAAUGUUGGGUUAAGUCCCGCAACGAGCGCAACCCUUAUCCUUUGUUGCCAGCGGUCCGGCCGGGAACUCAAAGGAGACUGCCAGUGAUAAACUGGAGGAAGGUGGGGAUGACGUCAAGUCAUCAUGGCCCUUACGACCAGGGCUACACACGUGCUACAAUGGCAUAUACAAAGAGAAGCGACCUCGCGAGAGCAAGCGGACCUCAUAAAGUAUGUCGUAGUCCGGAUUGGAGUCUGCAACUCGACUCCAUGAAGUCGGAAUCGCUAGUAAUCGUAGAUCAGAAUGCUACGGUGAAUACGUUCCCGGGCCUUGUACACACCGCCCGUCACACCAUGGGAGUGGGUUGCAAAAGAAGUAGGUAGCUUAACCUUCGGGAGGGCGCUUACCACUUUGUGAUUCAU
rnacentral:rRNA from 1 species